rnacentral:rRNA from 1 species
GACGGAGGAUGCAAGCGUUAUCCGGAAUGAUUGGGCGUAAAGCGUCCGCAGGUGGCAAUGUAAGUCUGCUGUCAAAGCGUCUGGCUCAACCAGAUAAAGGCAGUGGAAACUACAUAGCUAGAGUAAGGUAGGGGUAGAGGGAAUUCCUGGUGUAGCGGUGAAAUGCGUAGAGAUCAGGAAGAACACCGGUGGCGAAAGCGCUCUGCUGGACCUUAACUGACACUGAGGGACGAAAGCUAGGGGAGCGAAUGGG